rnacentral:piRNA from 1 species
UUGGUUUUACCCAGGAAUUCUGAUUUAUGAA